CAGGCCUAACACAUGCAAGUCGAGCGCACCCUUCGGGGCGAGCGGCGGACGGGUUAGUAACGCGUGGGAACAUACCCUUUUCUACGGAAUAGCCUCGGGAAACUGAGAGUAAUACCGUAUAAGCCCUUCGGGGGAAAGAUUUAUCGGGAAAGGAUUGGCCCGCGUUAGAUUAGAUAGUUGGUGGGGUAAUGGCCUACCAAGUCUACGAUCUAUAGCUGGUUUUAGAGGAUGAUCAGCAACACUGGGACUGAGACACGGCCCAGACUCCUACGGGAGGCAGCAG
rnacentral:rRNA from 1 species